rnacentral:lncRNA from 1 species
UAUUUGCCUACUCAGAAGAGAGAUACAUACCAUAUAUAUACUAUAAUGCAAUGAUUUCAAUCACUGCCUCAAAACAAGGAGGACAACAAUGGAUUGACUGCAUUUGAGAGUAGGGAGUCCACUCAAAGAUUUGACUAGCAUACCUGGCAACCCUUCUUUGAGUUCAUCAUCACAACUCCUACUUCUACAAAGUUGUUUCUGCCAAAAAUUUUACUGUGCACUAAAUAUAUUGGUUACCCUUUACUCCACCAAGCAUCCUUAACUGACUUUC